AUUUUUGGACAAUGGGGGCAAUCUGGAUCCAGCCAGGCCGCUAGAGUGAAGAAGGCCUCCGGGAUGUAAAGCACUUUCGGACGGAAAGAAAUGGCGUAGGCGAAUAACCUGCGCGGUUGACGGUACCGACGCAAGAAGCAACGGCUAACUCCGUGCCAGCAGCCGCGGUAAUGCGUAGGGGGCGAGCGUUAAUCGGAAUUAAUGGGCGUAAAUCAUGCGCAGGCGGUUGAUUAAGACAGUCGUGAAAGCCCCGGGCUUGACCUAGUGACUGCGCUUGUGACAGGUCAGCUAGAGUGCGGCAGAGGGGGGUGAAAUUCCACGUGUAGCAGUGAAAUGCGUAGAGAUGUGGAGGAACACCGAUGACGAAGGCAGCCCACUGGGCCGAUACUGACGCUCAUGCACGAAAGCGUGGGUAGCAAACAGG
rnacentral:rRNA from 1 species